ACGCUGUUGCUGGUGGUGGUGCAGACCACCCCGCUGGUGGUGGUGUAUUGUCUGCGGUAAGUAUAGGUUCCGGCGUUCAAUGUGCCGGUAGUGUA
rnacentral:tRNA from 1 species